UGAGGAAUAUUGGUCAAUGGACGAAAGUCUGAACCAGCCAUGCCGCGUGAAGGAUGACUGCCCUAUGGGUUGUAAACUUCUUUUAUAUGGGAAUAAACGCAGGUACGUGUACCUGCCUGAAUGUACCAUACGAAUAAGGAUCGGCUAACUCCGUGCCAGCAGCCGCGGUAAUACGGAGGAUCCAAGCGUUAUCCGGAUUUAUUGGGUUUAAAGGGUGCGUAGGCGGACUAAUAAGUUAGUGGUGAAAGCCCGGGGCUCAACUCCGGAACUGCCAUUGAUACUGUUAGUCUUGAGUCAACUUGAAGUGGGCGGAAUAAGGCAUGUAGCGGUGAAAUGCAUAGAUAUGCCUUAGAACACCGAUUGCGUAGGCAGCUCACUAAAUUUGUACUGACGCUGAGGCACGAAAGCGUGGGGAGCGAACAGG
rnacentral:rRNA from 1 species